UACGUAGGGGGCGAGCGUUGUCCGGAAUUACUGGGCGUAAAGCGCACGCAGGCGGUUCGCCAAGUUUGGAGUGACAGUUGUCGGCUCAACCGACAAAGGACUUCAAAAACUGGUGAACUUGAGGACGAGAGAGGAACAUGGAACUCCAGGUGUAGUAGUGAAAUGCGUAGAUAUCUGGAAGAACACCAACGGCGAAAGCACUCUGCUGGGCCGACACUGACACUGAGAGACGAAAGCUAGGGGAGCGAAUGGG
rnacentral:rRNA from 1 species